rnacentral:rRNA from 1 species
AUGAAACAACAAAACAUACAAAAUGAUAGGCUUCAUGUUGUCCCCAAAUUAAUCGUACCAGGUGCGGCGCACGCUCACAUCUUCAGGAUGACAACAAAUUACGGUAUAUAUAUCGAAUCUGGUUCGGCACAUUUGUUUGACACCAUAUAUGCAUGCAGCAAUGCUUCAUGUUCUUGUGAAAUGACAAGCUGUUUCUGUAAAUAUGAUAAAACACUAAACAAUUCUAUACAGGGUAUCACAUUACACAGGAGGUUUUUAAAUAAGCACGGAAGAAAUGGGUUGCCUUUCUCGACCACUGUUUUUUCUUUUCAAAGGGUAAUUUAA